rnacentral:rRNA from 1 species
UACAGAGGUGCCAAGCGUUGUUCGGAUUUACUGGGCGUAAAGAGCGCGCAGGCGGUCGAUCAAGUCGAGUGUGAAAGCCCCCGGCUCAACUGGGGAGGGUCAUUCGAUACUGAUCGACUCGAAGGCAGGAGAGGGUAGUGGAAUUCCCGGUGUAGUGGUGAAAUGCGUAGAUAUCGGGAGGAACACCAGUGGCGAAGGCGACUACCUGGCCUGUUCUUGACGCUGAGGCGCGAAAGCUAGGGGAGUGAACGGG